rnacentral:lncRNA from 1 species
UUUUUAAAUUUAUUGAAGUAUAGUUGAUUUAUAAUGUUGUGUUAAUUUCUACUGUACAGCAAAAUGAUUCAGUUAUACAUAUAAAUACAUUCUUUUUCCUAUUUUUUUUCCAUUUUGGGUUAUCACGGGAUAUUGAAUGUAGCUCCCUGUGCUAUAUAGUAGGAUCUUGUUUAUCCAUUCUAUAUGUAAUAGUUUGCAUGUGCUAAUCCCAAAUUCCCAAUCCACCCCUCCCCCAUCCCUUCUUGGCAAUCACAAGUCUGUUCUUGAUGAUCAGACACCUGUUCUAAACCCUAGCAUUCAGUCUACUUUUUAAUCAUCUGCCUCUCUGCCCAGCUAUCCUCAUCACCUUUUUUUUUUUUUUUUUUUGUCUUUUGUCUUUUGUUGUUGUUGUUGUUGUAGCUGUUGCUAUUUCUUGGGCCGCUCCCGCGGCAUAUGGAGGUUCCCAGGCUAGGGGGUAAAUCGGAGCUGUAGCUACCGGCCUACGCCAGAUGGCUAUGGCUCCAAUUAGACCCCUAGCCUGGGAAUCUCCAUAUACCCUGGGAGCAGCCCUAGAAAAGGAAAAAAAAAAAAAAAAAAAAAAGAGAGAGAGAGAUGAGGCGACGUCAAAAUCUUUUAUUUCUACAAUGUUUUAGUGUUUAUAAAGUACUUUCACACACAUGAACUCACUAAGUCCUCAUCAAAAUAAGGAGCUUUAGGAACUAUUUUCACAUUUUACAAAAUAAGAGUUCUGAGCUUGCAAUCAUUUGAUUUAUUCUAGGCUGACUGGGAACUAUAAGGCAGUCUUCUAUCUCCCAUAAAAGAAAGUGAAGUAAUUCCUGAUUGUCUUGAUUUUUCCUCUGUUGUUCAGGUAACUGGAGGAUUUGAACCUGGGCAAUCUCUCUCAAAGUUUCCAUGUAUGAAGUUACUUGUCACAAGAGGCAUAAAGCUUAGAAUCAUUAAUUGCCCUGGAAAAACAGGUUAUCACUUGGAAUGUGAGGGAUUCUCAGAUUUAAAUGAAAUAUUCCUCAUCCAAAAAGACUUAAUAAGCUUUGCAAAAAGAUUUUAUUUAUUUUUAUUUAUUUUUUUAUUUUCGGCCACACCCAUGGCAUGUGGAAGUUCCUGGGACAGGGAUCAAAUUCACUCACAGCAGCAACCCAAGGCACAGCAGUGAUAAUGCCAGAUCCUUAGCCACUAGGGAACUCCAAGAUUUUAUAUUUACAAAAAGAAAAGAAGAGAGGAGAAAAAGCAAAGCAAAGCAAAAAAAGGAGAAAAGGAAAGCAAAAGAAAAAAGAAUGCUUACUACAAGCUAGACACUACAAGAUAAAGGUGUUCCCCAUUUGAAAUAAUAUGCUUCAUUUGGGGAUUGGAACUGACACAAAUUCAUAUUAAAACAGAAGCUGGAAAAGACCUGAAAUCCUGGCCACCACAGUGUAGGAAAAUACACCUAAACCUUUCCAGUCUUCAGUCCACACCAUCUAAUCAUUAAGGUGAAAGGAAGAACACAAAACAAUGAAAGCAAAACAUUAAAACUCUGACUAAAACAACAAAAUAAUAAUUGUAACACUCUUUAGGAAUUGAAUUACAUUCCAUGCUAUCACCAGCUACAUAAUCUUCUCUUUGCUGACCCCAGUUCAAUCCUACAUCCACUCUUUUAGUGGUGCACAGCGUUUCCUUUCACAGCUGAGUUUCAGACAGAGAGCUGAAAGACUUUUGUAGCUGUAUUCAGGUUGCAAUUGGAAUUGGCCCUUCCUAAAUCUUACCAGUUAAAGCAUGACCCCUCCCACUGGAGAGAAUAAAGUCAGAAUUAAAAAAAAAAAAUGCAUUACACUAGCAACAAGCGGGGGAGGUGAGAGAGAUAAGGGCUGAGAAGUGAUGAUAUCCUGCUCUUAGGAAAUGAAUACAAGAUCUCACUGCAUAAAUCAGGGCAUAUCAAACUGAGGAUGGCCAAAAGUACAUGGCCACCAUGUGAGACCUAGAGAGAAAUGUAGAGAACAGUCUAGGAACAAUGUUGACAGUGGAAGAGACACACAGGGAAAAGCUAUUUUCUCUUUCAACUUCUGUGAAAAUCAAGCACCACACUCUCAAGGAAUCAAACUGCUGCCAAUGAGGACAUGGGGCAUUCUUAAGUGUCCCCUCCCAACCAGCCCUCCACCUUGCCUUAUGCUCAACCAAACACUGCUUAAGGUUCCCAUUUGGUAUGAUAUAAAAGGGGGCUUAUAAAGAAUAUUAGAGACAAUCCAUUUUAUUGAUAAUACAGUAGAUUUGGAGGGAUAGAUACCUCUCUGCUGGUCCCUGGCUCUGUUACUCUGUUAAAUUAAUUAAACAAGGAAGCCAUUAGACUGAGAUGGUGCUAAUGCCAAGCCGCUCGAGUUUGGUUUGGUGGAAAAUCAAAAUCUAGGGCUGUAAUACCUCAAGGUUAGGAAACCGAAAACUAAGGACAACCAAUCACAAACAGCAACUAGGUUUGAAAGCUACAGCCAGUCAAUAAUUUCCUUACUUUCCUUCUGCCAUUUUCUCUAUAACAGAUUUUUCCCAGCUCUGUUAGACGGAGUGCUCC